rnacentral:rRNA from 1 species
GAUGAACGCUGGCGGCGUGCCUAAUACACGCAAGUCGAGCGAACAGACGAGGAGCUUGCUCCUCUGACGUUAGCGGCGGACGGGUGAGUAACACGUGGAUAACCUACCUAUAAGACUGGGAUAACUUCGGGAAACCGGAGCUAAUACCGGAUAAUAUAUUGAACCGCAUGGUUCAAUAGUGAAAGACGGUUUUGCUGUCACUUAUAGAUGGAUCCGCGCCGCAUUAGCUAGUUGGUAAGGUAACGGCUUACCAAGGCAACGAUGCGUAGCCGACCUGAGAGGGUGAUCGGCCACACUGGAACUGAGACACGGUCCAGACUCCUACGGGAGGCAGCAGUAGGGAAUCUUCCGCAAUGGGCGAAAGCCUGACGGAGCAACGCCGCGUGAGUGAUGAAGGUCUUCGGAUCGUAAAACUCUGUUAUUAGGGAAGAACAAAUGUGUAAGUAACUGUGCACGUCUUGACGGUACCUAAUCAGAAAGCCACGGCUAACUACGUG